GUCCACGCCGUAAACGAUGGGUACUAGGCGUCGGGGGGAGCGACCCCCUCCGGUGCCGUCGCUAACGCAGUAAGUACCCCGCCCUGGGGAGGUACGGUCGCAAGACUGAAACUCAAAGGAAUUGACGGGGGCCCGGCACAAGCGGUGGAGCAUGUGGUUUAAUUCGAAGCAACGCGAAGAACCUUACCUGGGCUUGACAUGCACGGGAAAGCCGGUGGAAACAUCGGCCCCUCUUCGGAGUCCGUGCACAGGUGCUGCAUGGCUGUCGU
rnacentral:rRNA from 1 species